rnacentral:rRNA from 1 species
CACGUAGGGGGCAAGCGUUGUCCGGAUUUAUUGGGCGUAAAGAGCUCGUAGGCGGUUCGGUAAGUCGGGUGUGAAACCUCCAGGCUCAACCUGGAGACGCCACCCGAUACUGCUGUGACUUGAGUCCGGUAGGGGACCACGGAAUUCCUGGUGUAGCGGUGAAAUGCGCAGAUAUCAGGAGGAACACCGGUGGCGAAGGCGGUGGUCUGGGCCGGCACUGACGCUGAGGAGCGAAAGCGUGGGGAGCGAACAGG